GUCGAGCGGACAGAUGGGAGCUUGCUCCCUGAUGUUAGCGGCGGACGGGUGAGUAACACGUGGGUAACCUGCCUGUAAGACUGGGAUAACUCCGGGAAACCGGGGCUAAUACCGGAUGGUUGUCUGAACCGCAUGGUUCAGACAUAAAAGGUGGCUUCGGCUACCACUUACAGAUGGACCCGCGGCGCAUUAGCUAGUUGGUGAGGUAACGGCUCACCAAGGCGACGAUGCGUAGCCGACCUGAGAGGGUGAUCGGCCACACUGGGACUGAGACACGGCCCAGACUCCUACGGGAGGCAGCAGUAGGGAAUCUUCCGCAAUGGACGAAAGUCUGACGGAGCAACGCCGCGUGAGUGAUGAAGGUUUUCGGAUCGUAAAGCUCUGUUGUUAGGGAAGAACAAGUGCCGUUCAAAUAGGGCGGCACCUUGACGGUACCUAACCAGAAAGCCACGGCUAACUACGUGCCAGCAGCCGCGGUAAUACGUAGGUGGCAAGCGUUGUCCGGAAUUAUUGGGCGUAAAGGGCUCGCAGGCGGUUUCUUAAGUCUGAUGUGAAAGCCCCCGGCUCAACCGGGGAGGGUCAUUGGAAACUGGGGAACUUGAGUGCAGAAGAGGAGAGUGGAAUUCCACGUGUAGCGGUGAAAUGCGUAGAGAUGUGGAGGAACACCAGUGGCGAAGGCGACUCUCUGGUCUGUAACUGACGCUGAGGAGCGAAAGCGUGGGGAGCGAACAGGAUUAGAUACCCUGGUAGUCCACGCCGUAAACGAUGAGUGCUAAGUGUUAGGGGGUUUCCGCCCCUUAGUGCUGCAGCUAACGCAUUAAGCACUCCGCC
rnacentral:rRNA from 1 species